rnacentral:rRNA from 1 species
GAUGAACGCUAGCGGCAGGCCUAACACAUGCAAGUCGAGGGGCAGCACAGGUAGCAAUACUGGGUGGCGACCGGCGGAUGGGUGCGUAACGCGUAUGCAACCUACCAUUGAUUGGGGCAUAGCCCGAAGAAAUUCGGAUUAAUACUCCAUAAUAUUCAUCAAAGGCAUCUUUUAUGAAUUAAAGCUUUUGCGAUCAAUGAUGGGCAUGCGUGACAUUAGUUAGUUGGUGAGGUAACGGCUCACCAAAACGAUGAUGUCUAGGGGUUCUGAGAGGAUUAUCCCCCACACUGGUACUGAGACACGGACCAGACUCCUACGGGAGGCAGCAGUGAGGAAUAUUGGUCAAUGGACGCAAGUCUGAACCAGCCAUGCCGCGUGCAGGAUGACGGCCCUAUGGGUUGUAAAACUGCUUUUCCACGGGAAGAACCCUCCGACGUGUCGGAGACUGACGGUACCGUGGGAAUAAGCAUCGGCUAACUCCGU